rnacentral:rRNA from 1 species
UGGGGAAUUUUGGACAAUGGGCGAAAGCCUGAUCCAGCAAUGCCGCGUGUGUGAAGAAGGCCUUCGGGUUGUAAAGCACUUUUGUCCGGAAAGAAAUCCUUGGCUCUAAUACAGUCGGGGGAUGACGGUACCGGAAGAAUAAGCACCGGCUAACUACGUGCCAGCAGCCGCGGUAAUACGUAGGGUGCAAGCGUUAAUCGGAAUUACUGGGCGUAAAGCGUGCGCAGGCGGUUUGCUAAGACCGAUGUGAAAUCCCCGGGCUCAACCUGGGAACUGCAUUGGUGACUGGCAGGCUAGAGUAUGGCAGAGGGGGGUAGAAUUCCACGUGUAGCAGUGAAAUGCAUAGAGAUGUGGAGGAAUACCGAUGGCGAAGGCAGCCCCUGGGCCAAUACUGACGCUCAUGCACGAAAGCGUGGGGAGCAAACAGGAUUAGAUACCCUGGUAGUCCACGCCCUAAACGAUGUCAACUAGUUGUUGGGGAUUCAUUUCCUUAGUAACGUAGCUAACGCGUGAAGUUGACCGCCUGGGGAGUACGGUCGCAAGAUUAAAACUUAAAUGAAUUGACGGGGUCAUAGCUGUUUCCU